GACGAACGCUGGCGGCGUGCCUAAUACAUGCAAGUCGAGCGAACAGACGAGGAGCUUGCUCCUCUGACGUUAGCGGCGGACGGGUGAGUAACACGUGGAUAACCUACCUAUAAGACUGGGAUAACUUCGGGAAACCGGAGCUAAUACCGGAUAAUAUAUUGAACCGCAUGGUUCAAUAGUGAAAGACGGUUUUGCUGUCACUUAUAGAUGGAUCCGCGCCGCAUUAGCUAGUUGGUAGGGUAACGGCUUACCAAGGCAACGAUGCGUAGCCGACCUGAGAGGGUGAUCGGCCACACUGGAACUGAGACACGGUCCAGACUCCUACGGGAGGCAGCAGUAGGGAAUCUUCCGCAAUGGGCGAAAGCUUGACGGAGCAACGCCGCGUGAGUGAUGAAGGUCUUCGGAUCGUAAAACUCUGUUAUUAGGGAAGAACAAAUGUGUAAGUAACUAUGCACGUCUUGACGGUACCUAAUCAGAAAGCCACGGCUAACUACGUG
rnacentral:rRNA from 1 species